rnacentral:rRNA from 1 species
UACGGGGGGGGCAAGCGUUGUUCGGAAUUACUGGGCGUAAAGGGCUCGUAGGCGGCCAACUAAGUCAGACGUGAAAUCCCCAGGCUCAACCUGGGAACUGCGUCUGAUACUGGAUGGCUUGAAUCCGGGAGAGGGAUGCAGAAUUCCAGGUGUAGCGGUGAAAUGCGUAGAUAUCGGGAAGAACACCCGUGGCGAAGGCGGUUCUCUGGGACGGUACUGACGCUGAGACGCGAAAGCGUGGGGAGCGAACAGG